rnacentral:rRNA from 1 species
AGGACGAACGCUGGCGGCGUGCUUAACACAUGCAAGUCGAGCGGAAAGGCCUUUCGGGGUACUCGAGCGGCGAACGGGUGAGUAACACGUGAGUAAUCUGCCCAUCGCUUCAGGAUAGCCAUCGGAAACGGUGAUUAAUACUGGAUAUGACAUUCCUUCGCAUGUUGGGGUGUGGAAAGUUUUUUCGGCGGUGGAUGUGCUCGCGGCCUAUCAGCUUGUUGGUGGGGUAAUGGCCUACCAAGGCUUUGACGGGUAGCCGGCCUGAGAGGGUGACCGGCCACACUGGGACUGAGACACGGCCCAGACUCCUACGGGAGGCAGCAGUGGGGAAUAUUGGACAAGUGGGCGGAAGCCUGAUCCAGCAACGCCGCGUGAGGAUGACGGCCUUCGGGUUGUAAACCUCGUUUCAGCACAGACGAAGUUUUGUCGUUUUUUGGUGUAAGUGACGGUAUGUGCAGAAGAAGGACCGG